CCUCCCUCGCUGCCAGCCAACACUGUAUACGGUAGUUCACCGAACGUGAGGAAACAGGAUACUUCUAAGAGAUGACUCGGAGCCGAAACAAGUCCAGCAUCAUUGGUGUGUUUUGUCUGCUGUGGUAUAUUGAUUUAACACAACGUGACCUGAACAGUUAGCGGGACCACAUGUGAAAAACACCUACACACAUGAAAUCAUAACAUAACAACAUGUUUUGAUGGAUAAGACUCGAGUGUGUCAUAGCUACCGUGAAUAAGUAACUUUUUGUUUGGGCAGAGGAGCACACAGGUGAGGGGAGGAUGGCCUAAA